rnacentral:rRNA from 1 species
GACGAACGCUGGCGGCGUGCUUAACACAUGCAAGUCGAACGGAAAGGCCCUGCUUUUGUGGGGUGCUCGAGUGGCGAACGGGUGAGUAACACGUGAGUAACCUGCCCUUGACUUUGGGAUAACUUCAGGAAACUGGGGCUAAUACCGGAUAGGAGCUCCUGCUGCAUGGUGGGGGUUGGAAAGUUUCGGCGGUUGGGGAUGGACUCGCGGCUUAUCAGCUUGUUGGUGGGGUAGUGGCUUACCAAGGCUUUGACGGGUAGCCGGCCUGAGAGGGUGAACGGGCACAUUGGGAAUGAGAAAAGGCCCAGAAUCCUAAGGGAAGGAGGAGGGGGGAAUAUUGCACAAUGGGCGGAAGCCUGAUGCAGCAACGCCGCGUGCGGGAUGACGGCCUUCGGGUUGUAAACCGCUUUCGCCUGUGACGAAGCGUGAGUGACGGUAAUGGGUAAAGAAGCACCGGCUAACUACGUG